rnacentral:rRNA from 1 species
CCUACGGGAGGCAGCAGUGAGGAAUAUUGGUCAAUGGACGCAAGUCUGAACCAGCCAUGCCGCGUGCAGGAAGACGGCUCUAUGAGUUGUAAACUGCUGUUGUACGAGGGUAAACGCAGAUACGCGUAUCUGUCUGAAAGUAUCGUACGAAUAAGGAUCGGCUAACUCCGUGCCAGCAGCCGCGGUAAUACGGAGGAUUCAAGCGUUAUCCGGAUUUAUUGGGUUUAAAGGGUGCGUAGGCGGUCGGAUAAGUUAGAGGUGAAAUCCCGAGGCUCAACUUCGGAAUUGCCUCUGAUACUGUGCGGCUAGAGAGUAGUGGCGGUAGGCGGAAUGUAUGGUGUAGCGGUGAAAUGCUUAGAGAUCAUACAGAACACCGAUGGCGAAGGCAGCUUACCAAGCUACUUCUGACGUUGAGGCACGAAAGCGUGGGGAGCAAACAGGAUUAGAUACCCGAGUAGUC